GCUGCCAGGAGUCAUGCUGGCCUGAGGAGGUGGCUCAGCAGUGCCUCUGGGCCCCGUGCAGUGAUGCCCCAGGUCAGGCCUUCGCCCCACACAGGCCCAGGAUGUCCGCAGGCGCCCUGCCAGUGUGCUCCGGAGCGCUCAGAGGCCUGCGCACAGGCUUCCCUGCACGGCGUCUGCCUCCCCCCUGGUGCUGGCCUGGGAAUGAGGGAGGCCCUGGGAGCCCACCCAGGCAGUGCGGGGCCUUCUUCACUUCUGAUGAGAAGUCAGCUGUGGAAGGGUUCUGCUUAGUGCCCAGGAGACCUGAGCAGGGUCAGCCUCAGCCUACCAGGGACUUUGCUCAGUUCCCUAAUAAGGUGCUUUUCAUGCUGGCCUGAGGAGGGGCCGCCCCACCAGGAGCCUCCUGGCGCACCCACCAGCUGCCUGCGCUCAGGAUGAGCCCUGCCUCCUCCCCACUGCACGCCCGGGGGGCAGCUGACUGCAGGACUGGGUGCCACGCGGCUCUGUGAUGCGCUUUGCUCAGAGACAUCAAGGCCUCUUUCCCGGGAGGAGGAGGCCUGGGAGGUGCCUGGGAGAUUCACAUGAAGCCCCACGCCAAGAGCACUGUGUUGGGAGAGAGGCUUUGGGAGGUGAUUGCGCUUCAGUGAGGGCAGAGGGGGUCCUGACUGGAUAGGACCGUGGCCUUACAAGACCUGCCUCCAAUCCCAUGUACACAAGCCAAGGAAAGUCCUUGUGAGGACACCAGGAAGACGGCCGUCCACACGCUGAGAAGCCAGCUCCCACCAGAAACCUUAUCAGCUGAUGCCUCGUCUUGGACUUCCCAGUGCCCGUAUCUGGGAGAAAUAAAAGCCUGCUGUUGAAGCCGCCCA